CAUUUGGACGCAUCCAGCCAUGCCCCGAAUACACAGUUGAUUCCUUUGAGUCUUCGACGACUGGUCGACGGUGGAUCUGCGGAGGCACGGGACGGCCGCGGUGGACGGGAUGGCGAGGAGAGUGUCCUGCCGGACUCGUCGAGGGACUCCUGCGGUGGGGACACUGGAUCACAUCUCCGAGACACAGUGUCUCUCCCGAUCUCGACCUUGAGUGAAUUUGACAACACGCUACUUUUCCCGAUUCAUGAUUGGGGAUAAAUCACUAGGGAGGUACUAUGUCUGUAUGCGCCAUGCUAUUUAUUUUCCACACAUAAUGCAGUUUUUAUA